CACUUCCCAGGAUUUCUAAUACUACAUUUAUUCAUUUAUAUUUUUAAAGAGAUAUGUAUUUGUGAGGUGUUGAAAUAGUAAAUAGAGAAAUCCACACCUCUUUAUCCUGCAAGUGGGCUUCUCCAUCUUUGCUCCCUGUUAAUCAUUGAUAAAAAGCUCAGGCCUUUGUCCCUAGCAGUCAGUUACUGUUUCUCCUCCUUCAGUGCAGUUCGUGCCUUGGCUGUGCCAGGACUGAACAGGAUUGUGAUGUAAAUUGCUAAAUCUUUAAUAUACAUUUAAAAUAAAACAGAGCAUGACAAAAAAAAAUGUGAAACACAAGUUAUAGGUUGAAUUAAUGGUGUAAUUUCCAGCAAAGUGAUAGUUCUUCUUUAGGCCAUGCUGAGUCUUCCUCUUUCUGUGUGGUUAGAAAUUCACUGGAAGAAAAGUGUAGCUAGUUUUCAUGUG